AUGGCACAGGGAGUGCCCAUGGAUGAGCUGGAUGACAUGACUCUGAGAAAGGAAUACUCCCCGGAAGCUCUCGAGGAAACGUAUUACUUCAGUGACUACGACCAUGAUGACAGCAUUGAUUGGUACUUCGACCCUGACCACUCGGUCCACUCCUACUUGAGUGACUACCACCGCCUUGUCCUUAAAAAUGGAGAUGGCACGAGGUACCUUGACUGGGAGAAGUACUGCUCAUGGUUUACUACCUAUGAAACAGAUGAAGAGUAUCUCAAGUACUUUGAAGAAAUAUCAAAGAAAAUCAAGUGGAUUAAACGUUACAUGGAAUUUGAACGAGGAUCUCCUGAGUGGAUGGAGGUGGAAGCUAGAGGAUUUCGGCAAGCAGUGGAGAUCGCGCUAGACUUUCCCCACAUGAGCUUUGAUUUAGCUUUGACUGUUAGAUCCGAUCAUAUUUUUAACACGAGAUUUGAUCAUUUUGACCGUGAAGAAAUUGAUCCUCUUCUUUUUGAGAUUUGGAAACGUCUCACUAAGCGAAAGAUUACAUUCAGACAGGCUCUGGAACAAAUCCAGCAAGAGAACAUGUUCCCUCGACAGGAGAAGUGUAUACAAUUUGUACUGGAUAAUAGUAGUAUCUAUACUCGUUUGCAAUCAACUUUUGAUACUUGCGUGGAAGAUAUCUCUGAUGAGACUCCAGAGGAUGAAGGACGUAGGUUGAUUACAAUGGCGGUUUGGAGUAAGCUUCACAAAGAGAAGACGUGGAAUGAAUAUAUUAUGAGGAAGAUAGAGAUUGCUAAACACAUUGGGUUGGAUCUCCAAGCUACAUGUAUCCGAAUUUAA
rnacentral:rRNA from 1 species